AGUGGUUCCUGCUAUUUCAAGUGCUCCCUCUCAGGGCUUGUUCCAGGCAAGGCACUCAAUUGUCUAUUCAUGAUGUGGACACCAGUGGGACUGGGAAGAGAAGUUGGGGAUGGAAAAAGAGGUGCUCAUGCUGGAGAAGCAGGAUAAGCCUUCACAGUUUACAGACCUGCUUUUAACUGAAUGAGGACAAAUUAAUAGUGAUGCCCUAGUUUGGUCACUUGACCUUUUGAUGAAGAAUCUUCCCAUUGUAUAACUGAACAAAAUCUUAUUGCAAGAAAUGAGGAACUAAAUAUUGUACCUCAUACAAUAUUUACUCAACUAGCUGAUGGCACUUAGCUGUUAGCGCAUUCAGAUGUGCUGAUGUUCCAGCAUACCCAUCCAUUCUUAUAACUGAUUUUAACAGCGUACGUCAAGGAACGCACAUUUUGUUCCGUGAGUUCAGCUUUGUCCAAGCUACCCCUCAUAACAGGGCAUCUUUUCUUCGGACUUUUUGGAGAUGCUUCCGAACAGUGGGGAAAAAUGGAGGCAAGUAUUCCGGUACCAUUAUGUUGAUAUCAAAAUUGUUAGCUACACUACUGGUGCAGCACAAAUGCUGACACUGCGCACUGAUCUAAUAAACUAAUUCUGUUAAAAGGCAUCAUCAUUCUAGUGGCCUGUGGAAUAUAAAAAAAAUAAUGCCCACAGCAUAAAUUAGCAUAGGAGCACCUUGUUGCCAGUGUUACCUCCACUACAGAACAGCUCAUCAAGCAACAACAGAGCAGAGGGAGGACAUCUGUGGUCAUAUGCAUGAGGAGACAGAGGAGAAAAUACAAGUGCUGGGAAUCAGAUGGGAGUCAGAUAGCAGCUCUGGAGCUGGUUUGAAUAUAGACUAUGGAGCAUGAGGGUAAUAGAUGCUGCUAUUACAAGGCAGGUGGGGUGCUGAGUUCUCCGGCUAGGAGCUCUGUGUGAUGUAUGGGUUAUAGCAUUGUUGGGCUGAACAGCGGUGAACAUGGGCACCUAAGCUGUGUCUGAGCUAGUUCUGGCACAUUUGUUAGAUGACAUUACAGGAACCUAGUGGCUGUGGAAUGGGGACCACUGACAGCUGGGUGACCUCCACAACUUCACCCACAAGGAAAAAGGUUCAAUGCCAAAAUAACUAUUCAGCACUGUGCUAUCUUGUCUAGCUAUUCUUAUUGUGCAACACACUAGAGUAGGUAUUGGAGAACUGGCCAGAGUACAAAAUAAACUCAUGUAACUUCAUGCAACUAAAAUUAAGUUUUGGCUUACUCUUUAAGUUUAGAAUUUUAAGCAAACAUAAUGAAUGUUGCUGUACAAAUGUGGAUUUCAGUGGUUUGACUUCGUUUUGUUGUUCUUGUUUUUUUUUUUCUUCCACAAUCAGUCUCACUUGUUUCAAGAUAUUCUACCUCACUUCUCACUAUCUACAGAUAAAUUCUCAACUUCUGGCUAAGUUUUUUGCAAGACUUUGCUUUUGAUGAACAGAGUUUCUAAGACUAUAAAUAGGGAGAUGGCUUUUUUGACAUAUGCUAUUUUAA